rnacentral:misc_RNA from 1 species
UCCGAGUUGACCCCGGCAGUCUCCUAUGAGUCCCCACCAUCACGUGCUGGCAACAUAGAACGAGGGUUGCGCUCGUUGCGGGACUUAACCCAACAUCUCACGACACGAGCUGACGACAACCAUGCACCACCUGUACACCGACCUUGCGGGGAACGCAUCUCUGCGCUUUACCGGCGUAUGUCAAGCCUUGGUAAGGUUCUUCGCGUUGCAUCGAAUUAAUCCGCAUGCUCCGCCGCUUGUGCGGGCCCCCGUCAAUUCCUUUGAGUUUUAGCCUUGCGGCCGUACUCCCCAGGCGGGGAACUUAAUGCGUUAGCUGCGGCACGGACCUCGUGGAAUGAGACCCACACCUAGUUCCCAACGUUUACGGCAUGGACUAC